UAGCGAUUUUAUAGUGGUUAGUUAACCAAUUUAGGGAGUAUUAUGAAGUUUUUCUAAAUUAACCAACAAAAAAUUUAAACGAUGCCCAUGUACCAUGAAAGAGAGUUUAAUAUACAUUAAUACAAAUGUAUAAUGUGUUUAGAAAUUUUAAAACAACACUAAAGAUCAUAGGCUUCCGUAUAUAGAGCAUUUACAGAAAAAUUAAAUAUUUUCAUAGGGGUUAACCCAUAGAUUUUGAAAAAAAUUAAAAAAAAUUAAAAUCCUAUUUUAUUGCAUACUUGCAUCCUUCACAAACAUAUGAUGAAGGUCAAAGAUGUUUGUAACCUUUGUUGUCUCCGUUUUUCUAGCGAAUAGCGAUUUUAUAGUGGUUAGUCAACCAAUUUAGGAAAUAUUAUGAAGUUUUUCUAAAUUAACCGACAAAAAAUUUAAACGAUGACCAUGUACCAUGAAAGAGAGUUUAAUAUACAUUAAUACAAAUUUAGAAUGUGUUUA